CUCAACAUGUGCGGCUGAAUUCUGGACGUCCUGGAGUUUGGAGGCUGAACCAUGGAGGAAACUGUUAUCUAAUCAAGCCAUGAAUCAUGGUUUCAGAGGCAGAGAAGGAAAGUGGAUCACAAAGGCAGGCAAUGUUUUUGAGUUUAAAAAAUGCAGUUCUGAUGGUUGCUGAUGUGGUUCAGGAUUGUGAUGACUGUUGAAAAUGACUCUAAGGACUCUAAAGGGGUUAGUUUGGAGUGGUUGAAAGUGCGCCAAAAGUUGUGAGAAAUUUCAGUGACAGAUUCAGGUUGAUAUUAGUUGAGCUGAAGAAAAUUGGUGGGCUUCUUUAUUUUCUUCUGUGAGUGGUGCAGGUUACUUUUUUGGCAGAGCUGUAGAUCUGUAUGUUCUUUGCAUAGCGAUGAAGGUGGAGUCUGUGUCAAAUGAUGCCAACAAGGAGACGAGAUUCAAACAAAGAAGACCAAGUACAGAACCUUGGGGAAUGCCAUGGCUGUCCCAUGUGGCCCUGGGAGGUGGAGUUUUUUUUACAUAAAUUAACGUUUGACUUUUAGAGACACAUUCCUCAAGAAGAGAAGGUCCUAGAGUUUGCUGGAUCUUCCAGAACAUCUCCUCAUUUUCUGUAAUCAGCAGGCUAGCUGGACUGAAAGAGAGGUUUUGUCAGGCCACAAAGCUGUGUGCAGGUUUGUUGUGUGGUGUGGUGUAGUGUUUCUCAUUCUCUCCACCAGGGUGCAGCUGCACAGCUGUUAGCCCAGAGGUCUCCCUAGAUCUCACGAACCUCAGUCUGGAAGGAGAGAGAGCGCGCUAAUGUCUCUUUCCGGGCAAACAGACAUAACUCUUCAAACUGGAUCCAAGAGUGUCAUAUGAUCAGGUGAUCAUACGCACUAAGUUAUGUAGGAAUUAAUUGCUGUUUGUGUAUCUGGUAUUCAUUCAUGAACGGAGUAAUUAAGGUACAAGCGUUGCUUGACUUUCUCUCUGAGGUCUACAGAAGCAAAUUGUGUUCCAAAGAGUUCCCGGCAGAGACCCUGUCUCUACGACACCAAGUGGAGCAGUUUUUCCUGGUCUGAAGGUGUCAGAGUCUGGACUCUCUGCUACUAACUAUUUUCAGCCACUAGGUGUCGCCUGAGACCGUUCUCGGAGGGUAACAGAGCUUUGAUUCCGCCUCGCUUCCUGGAGAACUGGAGAUCAUACCCAACCAAAACAAAGAAGAAGAACCUGGACUACUUACCAGCUGGCAAUCCGUCUGAGCCCCGCCGAGCCAAACCUGUCUGCCCUCCAACGGUCUUCCAGUCUCCAGCCUUCGAAACCCUGGUGGCCUAGAACACAGCUAUCCGCAAGUCUGGACUCACCUCUCUCUCCCUGGUGGAUCAGAACCCAGCUAAUUUCCAGGCCCGAGCAGCGGCUGUCGUUUGCCACUCCAGUCUGUUAAUAAACUUCCUAAACGGUUCUUUGGGUGCUUCUGUUUAUGUGGGUCAGAUCGGCC